CUUAUUCGCUAACUCAUCUCAUUCUCUUCUUCGUUCGUUCUCUUCUCACUGACUGCGCAGACUUCUUCAUUCUUGAACUUGAAUCUUCGUUCUUCGAUCUCUUUAGUCUUUUCUUCGAUCCUCAUUCAUCUUCGACCGAUUGAUCAUCGUGGACCUUCGUUGUUUGACUUCGAUCCUCUUUGAAUCUUUCAUCUUCGACCAAUCGAUCAUCGUCAACAUUCGUUCAUCUUUGAUUUCAGCGACUGUAACAGAGGUUGUAUGGUUUUGCCAUAUGCUUAUCAUAAGGUUUAUUCUGUACACUACUGUCAAUGCUUGUUUUCUUUAAUCCAAUCAAGUUCGGGAUCACAUUCACAGUUGGGAAUUUACUUUCACUUGGGAGGUUCAUAACAAACUAUUGACACUUAUAGCAAUCAUUUUAGAGGUGCAUUAAUUUGGCUUGUGAUACUGCAGAACAUUUUGGUUUUUCUCAUUCUGAAACACACAGAAAAUGGUGCCCAACAGAACCAACAAGAGGUUGCCUAAAUUCUUCAAGGUCUUCAUCCCAAGGCUCAGCUCUGCCAGUUUGAAAAUCCCGGAUGCUUGGGUACAACACUUGAAUGCAUUACCAAAGAAUGUUGUUCUUCAGAAUCAAAUCAGAAAAAUUUGGCAUAUGCUGACAAUAGGGUAUAUUUUGCAAAUGGUUGGCAACAGUUUGUGAAAGACAAUUCUAGUGUUUGGAGAUUUUUUAGGUUUUCAAUACAAUGGUGACAAUGGAUUUAAUGUUAAAAUAUUUGGGAAAUCUGGCUGUGAGAAGAAUGAAACUGGUCCUUAUGUGGGCAUUGAUAUAGAGGAGGAGGAAGAAGUGGAGGAACACGGAAUUACUGAUGUAGGUACUGAUUUUGAUGAUGAUCAUGGUAGUGACAGUGAAUAUAAUGUUGAAGAAGAGGAGGAGGAGAAGGAAGAAGAAGCAUCAGAAGGAACAACUAUAUUGAAGCAGAGAGACAAAAGGAUUUGUGAAAAUGAUGGUAAACAUCAAGUAUUUUUUUUUUUUUUUUUUUUGUCAUUUCAAAAUAAUUCUAUGUGCAUGUGUGAAUGCCGUAGAGAUAUUUAAUAGGAUUUGUGCGAGAUAAAUGAAACCCAUUGUUAAUUUGAUUUAAGAGAAGGAUCCAAGAAAAGUGCCUGUGUCGAGGCAAAAACGUCUCAAGAACUUGACAAUGUCUUGACCAGAGAGGAAGUGAGAAAAUAUGUUUAUCUUCAAAAUCCCUACUUUUUAUCAAAGCUAAAACAAACUAGAAAAGUGCCGGUGGUUUUUAGUUUGUUUUAGCUUUGACACAAAGUAGGGAUUUCGAGGAUGAACAUAUUUUCUCACUUCCUCUCUGGUCAAGGCAUUGUCAAGUUCUUGAGACGUUCUUGCCUUGACACUGGCACUUUUCUUGGAUCCUUCUUCUGAAUCAAAUUAACAAUGGGUUUCAUUUAUCUCGCACAAAUCCUAUUACAUAUCUCUAGGGCAUUCACACAUGCACAUAAAAUUAUUUUGAAAUGAAAAAAAAAUAUUUGAUGUUUACCAUCAUUUUCACAAAUCGUUUUGCCUCUUUGCUUCAAUAUAGUUGUUCCUUCUGGUGCUCCUUCUUCGGUUUCCUCCUCUUCAACAUUAUGUUCAUCCCUGAAGUGUUCGUAUAACUGGGUACAAGAACCAACAAAAUUGUAGUCUGACAUGGGGUAUGAUCAUGGUGCAUGGUGGCAUGUCUUCGCAUGAUCAAGUUUCUUGCUAAAACUCGUCGUUUCUUUGCACCCGUACUUUGUGUGUUGACAUUUUAUUUUGAUGGAUUCUAAAACUUUAUCAAUUGCUCGACAACAGUUAUAUCCAAUAGGCAAAAAACAGGAGGGACAUUCGUUCAUAAUUUUGGUGCAGCAGGAAGAGCAAGCUAUAUGUCCAUUUUCACACUGACAUGCCACAAGCAUGGAAAAAGACGUCAGAUUGUUAUAUUUGGACAAGGAAUUGCUAGUGCAGGGAAGAUUAUCAAAAAGAUUUCAGAACAUAAAUAUAUGUAAAUGCUCAAGCAUGCAUGUCCAUUAUACAUACCUAAUAAUUUACAUGCACUCUUAUAACAGUAUAGGAUAUGAUAAGAGCAUGUAACACAGUUUCUUCACAAAAUUUGUAUAUUUCACAUUAUAAAGAGAGCUUCCAGUAUACCAAUAUCCUCUAGUAAGAGAAAAUU